rnacentral:rRNA from 1 species
AACGAACGCUGGCGGCAGGCUUAACACAUGCAAGUCGAGCGCCCCGCAAGGGGAGCGGCAGACGGGUGAGUAACGCGUGGGAAUCUACCCAUCUCUACGGAAUAACGUAUGGAAACGUGUGCUAAUACCGUAUACGUCCUUCGGGAGAAAGAUUUAUCGGAGAUGGAUGAGCCCGCGUUGGAUUAGCUAGUUGGUGGGGUAAAGGCCUACCAAGGCGACGAUCCAUAGCUGGUCUGAGAGGAUGAUCAGCCACACUGGGACUGAGACACGGCCCAGACUCCUACGGGAAGCAGCAGUGGGGAAUAUUGGACAAUGGGCGCAAGCCUGAUCCAGCCAUGCCGCGUGAGUGAUGAAGGCCCUAGGGUUGUAAAGCUCUUUCACCGGUGAAGAUAAUGACGGUAACCGGAGAAGAAGCCCCGGCUAACUUCGUGCCAGCCGCCGCGGUAAGAC